AUUGAACGCUGGCGGCAGGCCUAACCCAUGCAAGUCGAGCGAGCGGCGGACGGGUGAGUAAUGUCUGGGAAACUGCCUGAUGGAGGGGGAUAACUACUGGAAACGGUAGCUAAUACCGCCUACCAUCUGAUGUGCCCAGGUGGGAUUAGCUAGUAUGGGGGGUAACUGCUCACCUAGGCGACGAGCCCUAGCUGGGCUGAGAGGAUGACCAGCCACACUGGAACUGAGACACGGUCCAGACUCCUACGGGAGGCAGCAGUGGGGAAUAUUGCACAAUGGGCGAAAGCCUGAUGCAGCCAUGCCGCGUGUAUGAAGAAGGGCUUCGGGUUGUAAAGUACUUUCAGCGAGGAGGCGUUACUCGCAGAAGAAGCACCGGCUAACUCCGUGCCAGCAGACGCGGUAAUAC
rnacentral:rRNA from 1 species